CCUACGGGAGGCUGCAGUAGGGAAUCUUCGGCAAUGGACGAAAGUCUGACCGAGCAACGCCGCGUGAGUGAAGAAGGUUUUCGGAUCGUAAAACUCUGUUGUUAGAGAAGAACAAGGACGUUAGUAACUGAACGUCCCCUGACGGUAUCUAACCAGAAAGCCACGGCUAACUACGUGCCAGCAGCCGCGGUAAUACGUAGGUGGCAAGCGUUGUCCGGAUUUAUUGGGCGUAAAGCGAGCGCAGGCGGUUUCUUAAGUCUGAUGUGAAAGCCCCCGGCUCAACCGGGGAGGGUCAUUGGAAACUGGGAGACUUGAGUGCAGAAGAGGAGAGUGGAAUUCCAUGUGUAGCGGUGAAAUGCGUAGAUAUAUGGAGGAACACCAGUGGCGAAGGCGGCUCUCUGGUCUGUAACUGACGCUGAGGCUCGAAAGCGUGGGGAGCAAACAGGAUUAGAUACCCCUGUAGUC
rnacentral:rRNA from 1 species